rnacentral:rRNA from 1 species
CACCGCGGUUAUACGAGAGGCCCAAGCUGAUAAUUGCCGGCGUAAAGAGUGGUUAAGAUCAAUUUAAAACUAAAGCCAAAAGCCCUCACAGCUGUUAUACGCACUCGAGGGUAGGAAGCCCAACUACGAAAGUGGCUUUACAACAUCUGAACCCACGAAAGCUAGGGUA